AACAAGGUUCCGUGGUGAACUGGGGAAGCAUCAUUAA
rnacentral:rRNA from 1 species